GCCGGAGUGGCGGAAUGGCAGACGCAGGGGACUCAAAAUCCCCCGCCCCUCGGGGCGUGUGGGUUCGACUCCCACCUCCGGCACCA
rnacentral:tRNA from 1 species